UGACCCAAGUUUGGGUCACCUAGCCAACUGACGUUGUUAGUGAACUUAGUAUUCACAAAAAAGCCAAUAGAUUAGUGUCUAUUGGCUAUUUUUUU
rnacentral:sRNA from 1 species